rnacentral:rRNA from 1 species
GACGAACGCUGGCGGCGUGCCUAAUACAUGCCAGUAGAACGCUGAAGGAGGAGCUUGCUUCUCCGGAUGAGUUGCGAACGGGUGAGUAACGCGUAGGUAACCUGCCUGUUAGCGGGGGAUAACUCUUGGAAACGAUAGCUAAUACCGCAUAACAGUAGAUGUUGCAUGACAUUUGCUUAAAAGGUGCAAUUGUAUCACUACCAGUUGGUCCUUCGUUGUAUUAUCUAGUUGGUGAGGUAAAGGCUCACCAAGGCGACGAUACAUAGUCGACCUGAGAGGGUGGACCGGCAAACUGGGACUGAGACAACGCCCCAGAUCCCACGGGAAGCAGGAGUAGGGGAACUUCCGGAAUGGAGGGAAGGCUGGCCGGGGAACGGCGCGUGAGUGAAGGAGGUUUUUGGAUCCUUAAGCUCCGUUGUAAGGGAAGGAAGAGUGGGGGAGUGGAAAAUGCACACUGUGACGGUAUCUUACCAGAAAGGGACGGCUAACUACGUG